GCCGCUUUUGCGGUCGGGCUACGGAGGCCGGGUGGCCGGGAAAGCAUUUAAGAAGCUCUUGGAGUAACAUGAGUCAGAGUAAUGUAGGACCUGCAGGAAGUCUGUCAAGAUAGUUAGGAAAAAGAAGAAUUUAUAGACUCUUCGUCAAGAUCUUCAUUUACGCAGCUGUUAAAUCCAAGGCUACAGUUGUGGUGAAACCAUGAAUAAAAAUACAUCUUCUGUAGCAUCAUCCAGUCUGCUUGAAAAGGAUCCUGCCUUUCAGAUGAUUACAGUUACCAAGAAAACAGGCCUUGGUCUGAAGAUCCUAGGAGGAAUUAACCGGAAUGAAGGUCCAUUGGUAUAUAUUCAGGAAAUCAUUCCUGGAGGAGACUGUUAUAAGGAUGGACGUUUGAAACCAGGAGAUCAACUUGUCUCAGUAAACAGGGAGUCCAUGAUUGGUGUAUCAUUUGAAGAAGCAAAAAGCGUAAUUACCAGAGCCAAGCUGAGGUCAGAAUCUGCUUGGGAGAUAGCAUUCAUAAGACAGAAAUCUGACAGCAGCCAUUUAGAAAAUCCAUCUUGUUCAUCCCUUUUACAAGCUACAGGAGAAUAUGGACCUCAAGCCUCAAAAUUUAGCCUUAUUUCUUCUCCUGAAAUACUAAUUCCAAAGACCUCAUCCACUCCCAGAUCUACAGAUGCCAUUUUACCUUCUUUUAGGAGGAAUCAGAUAAAAACUGGAUACAAGAAAACAGAACAGAUUCCAAUUACUUCUUCAGACAACAGCCCUACAGAUAUGUCUAAUACAGAUAUUUCCCCUGCUUGGACUGAUAACUAUGGGCCACAAGGAAAGAAGAUUUCCCUAAAUCCAUCUGUUCGCGUUAAGGUAGAGAAACUAGAAAUGGCUCUAAAUUAUCUUGGAAUUCAGCCCACAAAAGAACAACACCAAGCCCUGAGAGAGAAAAUGCAAGUAGACCCAAAGGGGAUGGUGUCUUUUGGAGAUUUUGUCCACAUUGCCAGAAACUUGUUUUGCUUGCAAUUGGAUGAAGCCAAUGUUGGUGCACAUGAAAUUUCCAGCAUAUUAAAUUCACAGAUCUCUCAGGAGACAAGUGAUUCCUUAGAAACACAUGAAAUGGAAAAGCUUAAGCAUGAAAGAAAUAACGCCUUGGAAGAAGUGAAUACACUUAAGGAAAAAUUAUUUGAAUCGGAAAGGCAGAGGAAGCAAUUGACAGAAGAACUCCAGAACGUGAAACAAGAGGCCAAAGCUGUGGUCGAAGAAACAAGAGCCCUGCGAAGUCGGCUUCAUCUUGCCGAAGCUGCACAGAGACAGGCACAGGGAAUGGAAAUGGAUUACGAGGAAGUGAUCCGUCUGUUAGAGGCUGAGAUUGCAGAGCUGAAGGCUCAGCUUGCUGAUUAUUCUGACCAAAAUAAAGAAAGUGUUCAGGAGUUAAGAAAGAGAAUCACAGUACUGGACUGCCAAUUGCGAAAAUCAGAAAUGGCUCGGAAAACUUUUGAGGCAUCCACUGAGAAGCUUCUCCGUUUUGUAGAGGCUAUUCAAGAUGUAUUUUCUGACAAUUCUGCACCUUUGUCAAAUUUAAGUGAAAGAAGAGCUCUCUUAGCUUCCCAGACAUCCCUCACGCCAUUGGGAAAGAAUGGACACAACAUCCCAGCAACACUGGCACUUGAGUCUAAGGAACUUGUUAAAUCUGUCCGUGCCAUACUUGAUAUGGAUUGUCUACCUUACGGGUGGGAGGAAGCUUACACAGCAGAUGGAAUCAAGUAUUUCAUCAAUCACGUAACACAGACUACGUCCUGGAUGCACCCCGUGAUGAGCGCGCUAAACUUGCCCUGCUCAGAGGAGAACGAAGAGGAUUGUUCCAGAGAACCUCCCGACCAGAGGAACUGAUGAUUUUCCGUGGGAAGCUGUGCCCCAUGGUCUUCCAGCGGCUCCAUCUCUGCAGAUAA
rnacentral:lncRNA from 1 species